rnacentral:rRNA from 1 species
GUGCCAGCAGCCGCGGUAAUACGUAGGCAGCGAGCGUUGUUCGGAGUUACUGGGCGUAAAGCGUGCGUAGGCGGUGUCUCAAGUUUGUUGUGAAAUCUCCCGGCUCAACCGGGAGGGUGCGGCGAAUACUGAGAUGCUGGAGUGCGGGAGAGGUAAGCGGAAUUCCUGGUGUAGCGGUGAAAUGCGUAGAUAUCAGGAGGAACACCUGCGGUGUAGACGGCUUACUGGACCGUAACUGACGCUGAGGCACGAAAGCGUGGGUAGCAAACAGGAUUAGAUACCCUGGUAGUCC